AACUUUCAACAACGGAUCACUUGGCUUUGGCUUCGAUGAAGAACGCAGCGAAAUGCGAUACGUAAUGUGAAUUGCAAUCAGUGAAUCAUCGAAUCUUUGAACGCAUAUUGCGCUCUUUGGUAUUCCGAAGAGCAUGCUUGUUUGAGUAUCAGUAAACACCUCAAAACUCUUUUUUAUUUUUUGAAAAACAGUUUUGGACUUGAGCAAUCCCAACACCAAUCUUUUUUAGAUCAGUGGCGGGUUGCUUGAAAUGCAGGUGCAGCUGGACAUUCUCCUGAGCUAAAAGCAUAUUUAUUUAGUCCCGUCAAACGGAUUAUUACUUUUGCUGCAGCUAAUAUAAAGGGAGUUUGACCGUUUUGGCUGACUGAUGCAGGAUUUCACAAGGGUCGGCAACGAUUCUUGUAAAACUCGAUCUCAAAUCAAGUAAGACUACCCGCUGAACUUAAGCAUAUCAAUAAGCGGAGGCU
rnacentral:misc_RNA from 1 species